GACGAACGCUGGCGGCGUGCUUAACACAUGCAAGUCGAACGGAAAGGCCCUGCUUUUGUGGGGUGCUCGAGUGGCGAACGGGUGAGUAACACGUGAGUAACCUGCCCUUGACUUUGGGAUAACUUCAGGAAACUGGGGCUAAUACCGGAUAGGAGCUCCUGCUGCAUGGUGGGGGUUGGAAAGUUUCGGCGGUUGGGGAUGGACUCGCGGCUUAUCAGCUUGUUGGUGGGGUAGUGGCUUACCAAGGCUUUGACGGGUAGCCGGCCUGAGCGGGUGACCGGCCACAUUGGGACUGAGAUACGGCCCAGACUGCUACGGGAGGCAGCAGUGGGGAAUAUUGCACAAUGGGCGGAAGCCUGAUGCAGCAACGCCGCGUGCGGGAUGACGGCCUUCGGGUUGUAAACCGCUUUCGCCUGUGACGAAGCGUGAGUGACGGAAAUGGGUAAAGAAGCACCGGCUAACUACGUG
rnacentral:rRNA from 1 species